rnacentral:rRNA from 1 species
CUCCGUUUGAUCCUGCCGGACCCGACUGCUAUCAGAGUGGGACUAAGCCAUGCGAGUCAACAUAGCAAUAUGUGGCAUACGGCUCAGUAACACGUAGUCAACAUGCCCAGGGGACGUGGAUAACCUCGGGAAACUGAGGAUAAACCGCGAUAGGUCAUCACUUCUGGAAUGGGUAAUGACUUAAAUCUAUAUGGCCCCUGGAUUGGACUGCGGCCGAUCAGGCUGUUGGUGAGGUAAUGGCCCACCAAACCUGUAACCGGUACGGGCUCUGAGAGGAGGAGCCCGGAGAUGGGCACUGAGACAAGGGCCCAGGCCCUAUGGGGCGCAGCAGGCGCGAAACCUCUGCAAUAGGCGAAAGCUUGACAGGGUUACUCUGAGUGAUUUCCGUUAAGGAGAUCUUUUGGCACCUCUAAAAAUGGUGCAGAAUAAGGGGUGGGCAAGUCUGGUGUCAGCCGCCGCGGUAAUACCAGCACCCCGAGUGGUCGGGACGUUUAUUGGGCCUAAAGCAUCCGUAGCCGGUUCUACAAGUCUUCCGUUAAAUCCACCUGCUUAACAGAUGGGCUGCGGAAGAUACUAUAGAGCUAGGAGGCGGGAGAGGCAAGCGGUACUCGAUGGGUAGGGGUAAAAUCCGUUGAUCCAUUGAAGACCACCAGUGGCGAAGGCGGCUUGCCAGAACGCGCUCGACGGUGAGGGAUGAAAGCUGGGGGAGCAAACCGGAUUAGAUACCCGGGUAGUCCCAGCUGUAAACGAUGCAGACUCGGUGAUGAGUUGGCUUAUUGCUAACUCAGUGCCGCAGGGAAGCCGUUAAGUUUGCCGCCUGGGGAGUACGGUCGCAAGACUGAAACUUAAAGGAAUUGGCGGGGGAGCA